rnacentral:tRNA from 1 species
GGGGAUUUAACUCAGUUGGUAGAGUGCUUGCCUUGCAUGCACAAGACUUGGGUUCAAUCCCCA